CAGUUUGGUCCCUCCCUUCUCCUUCCCUCCCAAGUCGUUGCUAGUCACCACGUAGUUAUUAUUUUCACACGAAUCACACCAAACCGUUGGCGGUUCCAAUUUCCCGCCGCCUUCUAAGUCAAUUGCGACCGUCAUCUAGUGGCAGCAGGCCGGCAGCUCUGUUUUCGUACAGAGAACAGAAACACAGAAAACACAGGAGAGAGAGAGAGAGAGAGAGAGAGAGAGAGAGAUCGCUUAUCAAAUGAAAAUAAGAGGUAGUAAAGCAGGAAGUGGUAGUAGGUGGAGCUUGGGAUGGAAGCUAGGGUUACCUGCAGUCUUCCUCUUAUGCUCUUUCUUCUUCCUCGCCGGCUUCUUCGCUUCUAUCCUCUUCCUUCAGGAGGAGGACGUACCUAUCGUACGGCCAGCACCGAGGUUGCUGGAAAAGGUGGAUGAGAGUUUGGAGUUUGAUCCUUCGCCUCAUGGCCAGACCGGAGAAAGCUCCAUCACUUCGAUUCCAUUUCAGAUUUUAAGCUGGAAACCACGUGCACUAUAUUUUCCCCAUUUUGCAACUGUAGAACAAUGUCAAAGCAUGAUCAAAAUGGCAAAGGCACAGCUUGCACCAUCAACCUUGGCUUUACGCGAGGGAGAAACGGCAGAAAACACUAAGGGGAUUAGAACAAGUUCUGGCAUGUUUAUAAGUGCAUCCAAAGACAAAACAGGGACCUUGGAUCUCAUUGAGGAGAAAAUUGCAAGGGCUACCAUGAUUCCCAGGAGCCAUGGUGAGGCAUUCAACAUCCUGCGGUAUGAGGUUGGACAGAGGUAUAAUUCUCAUUACGAUGCAUUCAACCCUGCUGAAUAUGGACCGCAGAAAAGCCAAAGGAUUGCUUCUUUCUUGUUGUAUUUAUCUGAUGUUGAAGAAGGUGGUGAAACCAUGUUUCCGUUCGAGUCACUGGACACUUUGAUCUGCAGAAUGGAUUGCCCAGUGACUUGAACUACGACUACCAGAAGUGUGUUGGGUUGAAAAUAAAGCCUCACAGAGGGGAUGGUCUUCUAUUCUAUUCAUUGUUCCCAAAUGGUUCGAUUGAUGUGACAUCACUUCAUGGGAGCUGCCCGGUAAUUGCAGGGCAGAAAUGGGUAGCCACAAAGUGGAUCAGGAAUCAAGAGCAGAAUGAUUGAACUUACAUUGUCAAAGCAUACCAUGGAAUUUUGGUGAUCUGGGACUCGGCAUCAAUUUUUUGUACGGAGUAGUACAUAAUUGGCCUUCUCAUUGCAAUAUUUAGGCAUGUGUGCCUUGAGCAACAUUUCAAUGUCACGCUGAACAAUUAACUUAGAUGUGCAUAUGGCAGUUUCAAUGGCAAACAUUAUUCAUUCAGUAUUUGCACAUGAAAUACCAAUAACUUUGUUUGGCACAGGUGUUCUGAAAUGGAAUGAUAUAAUGACAAUUUUUGUAAUUGGAC